CGCGAUUCGCUUGAAGAUUUUCGUUAAUUGAACGGAAAAACAUCGAGUGGCGCGAUUGCUUCUUUGUGAAAGGAAAAUUUGUGAGAAUUUAAUUGGUGCAUAGACAAUUGGAACCUCCAACAUCCGUUUCGGCGAUUGUUGUAGAUCCAUUAAGAUCGUUCAGUCUCAUACUGGAGGAAAUCGCCUGGAUCGUGGAUACCUGCGUUUCGGCUCGAUUCGCGGCUUCCUGCAUGGCUGCGAGUUUGUUCACCAAAUGGUGAUUACCGAGCAGAACAUUCUUUUCUUUCAAAACUUCUAAUUGAUUGAUGAAUCGACGGAAUUCCUCCUGAAACAUUCCAGAAAAGAAAGAAAGAAAAAAAAAAAAGAAACGAAGAAGAGACAUUAUUCCCAGUUUAGCUGCAUCAUUGGUAAAUCUGAUUUUCCGAUGUCGAUAUCAUAAUUAACGUGGCAUGGUGGGCUAUUAAUCGGCUUUUCACACAAUGGAUCUCGACGGUUCAACGCCUAUUAAUCGGUAUUUGCCUGCAUAGAAUGCCGAUAUAUGGGAGCCUUCCAGUACAGCUAAACGCGAUUAAUCUUAAAUAAAUUUUUACCUGCAGGUGAUGAUUUGUAGGAAAUAAAAUAUAUGAUAAUUUAAAAUUUUGUCGAAAAUUUUCUUUAAAAAAGUUCUCUUCAUAUUAUACUACUCUUAAAACACAUUGUAAAUCGAAAAA